rfam:Aedes aegypti strain Liverpool supercont1.49 genomic scaffold, whole genome shotgun sequence.
AAGUAAUCACAGAACCGGUUUUCAUUUUCGAUCUGACUUAUUUGAUUUAACAAGAGUGAGAUCAUUUUGAAAGCUGAUUUUGUACG